rnacentral:rRNA from 1 species
AUCAUUAACUAAUGUAUUGGCACUUUACUGGGAUUUACUUCUCAGUAUUGUUUGCUUCUAUACUGUGAACCUCUGGCGAUGAAGGUCGUAACUGACCUUCGGGAGAGACUCAGGACAUAUAGGCUAUAAUGGGUAGGCCUGUUCUGGGGUUUGAUCGAUGCCAAUCAGGAUUACCUUUCUUCCUUUGGGAAGGAAGGUGCCUGGUACCCUUUACCAUAUACCAUGAAUUCAGAAUUGAAAGUAUAAUAUAAUAACAACUUUUAACAAUGGAUCUCUUGGUUCUCGCAUCGAUGAAGAACGUAGCAAAGUGCGAUAACUAGUGUGAAUUGCAUAUUCGUGAAUCAUCGAGUCUUUGAACGCAGCUUGCACUCUAUGGAUCUUCUAUAGAGUACGCUUGCUUCAGUAUCAUAACCAACCCACACAUAAAAUUUAUUUUAUGUGGUGAUGGACAAGCUCGGUUAAAUUUAAUUAUUAUACCGAUUGUCUAAAAUACAGCCUCUUUGUAAUUUUCAUUAAAUUACGAACUACCUAGCCAUCGUGCUUUUUUGGUCCAACCAAAAAACAUAUAAUCUAGGGGUUCUGCYAGCCAGCAGAUAUUUUAAUGAUCUUUAACUAUGAUCUGAAGUCAAGUGGGACUACCCGCUGAACUUAAGCAUAUCAAU